GAGCUUGCUCCACCGGAAAAAGAAGAGUGGCGAACGGGUGAGUAACACGUGGGUAACCUGCCCAUCAGAAGGGGAUAACACUUGGAAACAGGUGCUAAUACCGUAUAACAAUCGAAACCGCAUGGUUUUGAUUUGAAAGGCGCUUUCGGGUGUCGCUGAUGGAUGGACCCGCGGUGCAUUAGCUAGUUGGUGAGGUAACGGCUCACCAAGGCCACGAUGCAUAGCCGACCUGAGAGGGUGAUCGGCCACAUUGGGACUGAGACACGGCCCAAACUCCUACGGGAGGCAGCAGUAGGGAAUCUUCGGCAAUGGACGAAAGUCUGACCGAGCAACGCCGCGUGAGUGAAGAAGGUUUUCGGAUCGUAAAACUCUGUUGUUAGAGAAGAACAAGGAUGAGAGUAACUGUUCAUCCCUUGACGGUAUCUAACCAGAAAGCCACGGCUAACUACGUGCCAGCAGCCGCGGUAAUACGUAGGUGGCAAGCGUUGUCCGGAUUUAUUGGGCGUAAAGCGAGCGCAGGCGGUUUCUUAAGUCUGAUGUGAAAGCCCCCGGCUCAACCGGGGAGGGUCAUUGGAAACUGGGAGACUUGAGUGCAGAAGAGGAGAGUGGAAUUCCAUGUGUAGCGGUGAAAUGCGUAGAUAUAUGGAGGAACACCAGUGGCGAAGGCGGCUCUCUGGUCUGUAACUGACGCUGAGGCUCGAAAGCGUGGGGAGCAAACAGGAUUAGAUACCCUGGUAGUCCACGCCGUAAACGAUGAGUGCUAAGUGUUGGAGGGUUUCCGCCCUUCAGUGCUGCAGCUAACGCAUUAAGCACUCCGCCUGGGGAGUACGACCGCAAGGUUGAAACUCAAAGGAAUUGACGGGGGCCCGCACAAGCGGUGGAGCAUGUGGUUUAAUUCGAAGCAACGCGAAGAACCUUACCAGGUCUUGACAUCCUUUGACCACUCUAGAGAUAGAGCUUCCCCUUCGGGGGCAAAGUGACAGGUGGUGCAUGGUUGUCGUCAGCUCGUGUCGUGAGAUGUUGGGUUAAGUCCCGCAACGAGCGCAACCCUUAUUGUUAGUUGCCAUCAUUUAGUUGGGCACUCUAGCAAGACUGCCGGUGACAAACCGGAGGAAGGUGGGGAUGACGUCAAAUCAUCAUGCCCCUUAUGACCUGGGCUACACACGUGCUACAAUGGGAAGUACAACGAGUCGCGAAGUCGCGAGGCUAAGCUAAUCUCUUAAAGCUUCUCUCAGUUCGGAUUGUAGGCUGCAACUCGCCUACAUGAAGCCGGAAUCGCUAGUAAUCGCGGAUCAGCACGCCGCGGUGAAUACGUUCCCGGGCCUUGUACACACCGCCCGUCACACCACGAGAGUUUGUAACACCCGAAGUCGGUGA
rnacentral:rRNA from 1 species